CGCCUGGUCCGAGGAAUUGGCCGCUCGUUCUCUUUCAUGCUGCGUCCUCACCUAAUUUUCUCUCUUUUAGUGUCAUCGUGCUGUCGUCGGUGGGAUUGCGGUAACUCCCCUGAGGCAGCGGGAGGGAUGCAGCCUGGAGAUAGUCAGAUAGCUGCUCACCUGGGCCCUUUGGCAACCCCGUUGCCCCGGGCGACCGCGUCGUCGCGCUCUAUGUAACCACCGUCUACUGGUUGGGGACGAACGAGGGGGUCCGUGGUGCCUUAUCCUCCGACUUUGACCCAGAGCCAUCUCCGCCUCCGCUGCCACGGCCUCCACCUCCUCGUCCUGGUCGUCGACAUGGAGCACGGUCCUCCAUCGGCCCGCUCGCCAUGGCCCGCCGAUUACGACCACCUAUUCGUCCUUGUCAGCUUUGACAACAUUUCCAAGUCGCAGGUCCGCCUCCUCCUCCCCAUUUCGACUCGCGGGCCUAGCCCUAUUCUCCGUGGAUACACUCCGUGGAGCGCUGACUUCCGGUGGUGUUGUUCGUUCCUGCAGUACCGGGCGGACAUGGUGCGGCGCGGCGGCGCCGGUGUCGGGCGGCUUGGAGGCAUGGCACCCACGUUGUUGCGUGCGGCCACAUCCGAUCAAGCUUAGGACUCCACUUACUGAAGUUUGGUGGCUUUCUCGAGGGAUCUGGAAUUGAUCUGGCUAUGUGUGUGUGUGUGUGUGUGUGGUGACCAGCGUGUGUGGCGGCGUAGGCAGCACGGGAACAAGGUCGUCAGCAAGCUGUGGGUGGAUGAUAGCUUGAUCGGACUGUUGUUGGCACAAUAUUUUCCAGGUUAUUUAUUGGCUAACGAGAGACUUGAAUGAAAUACAAGGUAGCGAUUAGCUGCAGAUCUGUUUGAUGGGUACCAAAAGGAAUGGGCGUGAAGAUAUAAUGGUAACUGCUUGCUACUUUUAUCCUCGGAUCUUUUAGUCAAAACUCAACUCUUAGCAUGAAUUUAUGAGUUAUGGCGAUCUUUAUUUGUUGUCCUUUAGACAUAACAUAUCAAGGUGAAGUUUUUGUCACAUUGUUCUAUAAUUUUUAAUUCUAUGUAAUUCCGUUCUAGAGCUUCUUUUUGCCUGCAUAGUAUGUCUCGUUAUCUCUAAAAUAUUUUAAUUAUUGCAGUACAAGUUUAUGUGAAAGUUUAUCGAGCAUUUAACACUGAGAGCAUAUGUUUCAGAAGUGAAUGUAAACUUUGCCUCUUUACUUUUUGUUGGGUCAGCUCAACCCCAAAGAACUAUGUCCCACUUCUGAGUAACUAUAGUUAUGCAAUAGUUAUACUGUGUAGCCUCAGGUUAAUUAUUCACAUGUUAUCAUUCUUUCUAGCAUUCAGGUAGUUAAUUGAUUGCUUUACAUGGUCUACUACUUCUAUGUAAAUCUAACCCACAAAAGUAAUGCAACAGCUCAAGAUGUUGGCAAAAUGAUUACAACAAUUACUUGCAGGAAUUGGUGUGUACCUCAGAAGCUAACUGUUCAUAUAUGAAUUGUUCAAUCACGGACAAGCAAGUUGUUGGAAGAUGAAAAACAAUUGUAAUCUUUGAAAAUGCAUAUUUUGUGUGGUCCUCGAUUUAUUUCUGUGGUUAUUAAUUUUUUAUUUCACUAAAAAUAUAUGCCACAUGCCUUAUCAUACAUUGGU